rnacentral:rRNA from 1 species
UAACACAUGCAAGUCGAUCGGUAACGCGGGGGCAACCCUGGCGACGAGAGGCGGACGGGUGAGGAACGCUUGGGAAUCUGCCUAUCAGCGGGGGACAACACGGGGAAACUCGUGCUAAUACCGCAUACGCUCUACGGAGGAAAGCCGGGGACCGCAAGGCCUGGCACUGAUAGAUGAGCCCAAGCCGGAUUAGCUAGUUGGCGGGGUAACGGCCCACCAAGGCGACGAUCCGUAGCUGGUCUGAGAGGACGAUCAGCCACACUGGAACUGAGACACGGUCCAGACUCCUACGGGAGGCAGCAGUGGGGAAUAUUGGACAAUGGGGGAAACCCUGAUCCAGCGACGCCGCGUGGGUGAAGAAGGCCUGCGGGUUGUAAAGCCCUUUCGGUAGGGACGAAAGCUCUCGACCUAACACGUCGGGAGGUUGACUUAACCUACAGAAGAAGCACCGGCUAACUCUGUGCCAGCAGCCGCGGUAAUACAGA